GACGAACGCUGGCGGCGUGCUUAACACAUGCAAGUCGAACGGCAAGGCCCUGCUUUUGUGGGGUGCUCGAGUGGCGAACGGGUGAGUAACACGUGAGUAACCUGCCCUUGACUUUGGGAUAACUUCAGGAAACUGGGGCUAAUACCGGAUAGGAGCCCCUGCUGCAUGGUGGGGGUUGGAAAGUUUCGGCGGUUGGGGAUGGACUCGCGGCUUAUCAGCUUGUUGGUGGGGUAGUGGCUUACCAAGGCUUUGACGGGUAGCCGGCCUGAGAGGGUGACCGGGCACAUGAGGACUGCGAUACGGCCCAGUCUCCUACGGGAGACAGCAGGGGGGAAUAUUGCACAAUGGUCGGAAGCCGGAUGCAGGAACGCCGCGUGCGGGAUGACGGCCUUCGGGGUGUAAACCGCUUUCGCCUGUGACGAAGCGGGAGUGACGGUAAUGGGUAAAGAAGCACCGGCUAACUACGUG
rnacentral:rRNA from 1 species